CUAGCUCCUAAGGCUAGAUUCACGAGCCCUAAAGGGGUCACCACCCUAAUGGAAGCAAACAAAGAUCGUAGCACAGUCUUUGUUCCAAAGGCUCUAGUCUGGGAUGAUAUCCUACAUAGUAAUGAUUGGCAUUUUGAGGCUAUCACCCACCCUGUCCGGAGUUACUCCGAACGAUCUCAAAUCGAAAGGGUGAUUCAACACCCUGAUGGAUC
rnacentral:lncRNA from 1 species